AAGAACCUUCUGGCUGGUGGAAAGAAGAGGCCAAUAGAGACAGAUGCAGUGAGAACAGGACCAUUUUGCAAACACCCAGUGGACUGAUUGCAGCUAGAAAGUUCAGCAGAUACCCAGUUGAGCAGAGGGAUUGCCUGAGAGAAAGGCUUUGCACAGUCUCAAGUUAUUUCUUCACAAAUGGCUUAAUAAUUGUGAAAGGGGAAAUAGUGCAGAAUGUGGAAAUGGGAUAACAUCUGGUUUAAACAAGGAGAUCACCAGUCACAUCACCCACCAGAGGCAGGGGAAACCACAGGCCUCUUGAUGGAGCAAGCCACACCACUCCUGAGCAACCCACCCAGCACUGACUCGGCUCCGUCUCUGCCUGAUCAUUAAGAAGAACAGAGGGGACUGCACCUUUGCAGACACCCUCAAGGAAUAGCCACCUGCAUCCCUCAAGGAGGCCAGCCUGGGGAGCCAGGGAUGGCCAUUAGCUGCUGCAGGCCCAGUGGGACUGACCUGGGCAGGGCCCAAACUCAAGCCCUGGGAGGAAACCACAUUCAC
rnacentral:lncRNA from 1 species